GACGAACGCUGGCGGCGUGCUUAACACAUGCAAGUCGAACGGAGUGGCGAACGGGUGAGUAACACGUGGGUGACCUGCCCUGCACUUCGGGAUAAGCCCGGGAAACUGGGUCUAAUACCGGAUAGUGUGGGAGGGGCCCGGGGCAUAUCGGCUUGUUGGUGGGGUAAUGGCCUACUUAGGCGGCGACGGGGUGCGGGCCUGGGAGGGUGGGGGGCCACAUUGGGGCUGAGACACCGCCCAGACUCCUACGGGGGGCAGCAGUGGGGAAGAGUGCACAAUGGGCGGAGGGCUGAUGCAGGGACGCCGCGGGGGGGAUGACUGCCUUCGGGUUGUAAACUCCUUUCACCAUCGACGCGGUAGAUGGAGAAGAAGCACCGGCUAACUACGUGCCAGCCGCCGCGGUAAUUC
rnacentral:rRNA from 1 species